rnacentral:tRNA from 1 species
UCUUCCUUAGCUCAGUCGGUUAGAGCAUCUGACUGUUAAUCAGAGGGGCCCUUGGUUCAAGUCCAAGAGGAAGAG